CACUCCUCCAGUGAGCUUCUGUGGUCAAGUGAGCAUUUGAAUUCUGGUCUCUAGAGUCCUAGUCCAUUCCUGUAUCCACACAAGGUACAUCUCAUCUAAUCUAAUCCUUUGUCAACAGACUUCCCAUAGUUAACUGAAGAAUUUGUUCAGUGACUUCUGGCACACAUCAGCUGAAAUCCGGUAGCAAGUUGCAACUGAAUCAAUGGAAUUUACAGAGGAGCGGACUUACUAGAUCCCCACUGAGUUAAUGGACUUACUCCACUUAUAACUUAUUACUGGAUUUCAGCCAUGAUGUAUGCCUUGUUAAUGCACACAUCUAAUAUCCCAACAGGCCUGUAUCUUGUGGAACCAAUACUGAGUCUGUGGAUUUUAUGAACCUGUAGGUGUAUGUGUAUGAGAGAGAGAAAGAGAGAUCCAUCCUGAAUCUGUAUUGGCCAUUUACUGCAGUUUCUGGUACACCAUUUUUACCUGAGAGAAAAAGAAUUAGGUCAUACCUAUCUUCCAUUUGUGGCGACCCAGAGCCUGAAAAGGACCACUAAGGAAGCCGAUUUUCGCAUCCAUACCAAUUAUACCUCUAUUGGUGGAAGGAACAAACAGAAGCAUCUCUCGUGAGGAUCUCAAGCCUUGAUCAAGCUACUACAAGAGAAUACAGGUAUUAAAAUAGGGUUUAAAGAGCAAAGAUUUCUAUGUCCCACGCACAUUUGCCCAUUUAGCAUCACAAGAAACUUACCAGAAA
rnacentral:lncRNA from 1 species